UCCGGAAAUAGCUUGGCUUGAAUAUCUGGACCGGGAAAAUGUUUCUGGAAACUACAAGCUAGGAUGAACUUGACAACUGAGACAGGAAUACAGUGUGUGCAACCACAACGAACCUCGCCAGUUUGAGCUGAAACCAAAAAGAGUUAAGAAAGUGUUUAAGCGAAGCCGCACGAGCUCGCAGAGCUAAUCGCUUCAAGACUGUUGAGGAGCGAACAGGAUCCCUGAGACUGAGGCUUAUACGUUCAAGAGAGGAUGAGAGCUGGAGAGGAGCUACAACCUGCAGAGAGGAAGACCGUGGGGGGGAUAAGUAUAGAGAGCAGCGAUAAAGAGCCUGGGAGAGAACUACCUGAAAGGGAGGAAGUGAAGAAGGACAGGAGAACAUAAGGAGCCUGCAGGGUUGUGCAGGCUGCACCCGUGAUGGUGGCUGGCUGCAUUCAGAAACACCAGGCGGACUGACAUCUCAAUGGACUCCCUAUUCCAUCACUAUCAGCUUACAGCCUAUAAUUACGCCCAAUCAUCUCGGAUCAAGCCUUUCGGCCUGAACGGCCCAGCGUAACAUCUGCUGCCUGGACGACUUGGCUUAGGAGGACUUUCUUAUGGAAAGGUCCAAGGCUCUAGAGGAAGAAAGGAGAGCCAUUGGGUCAAACUUGCUUGAGGUCGCAGUCAAAGCUUUCAUAGCUCAGAAUACAAAGCGCCUGGCACAUCAGAGUGAUUUUCUCAUCUCAGAGCCAAGCCAUGGCCAAAGCACACCGGGGAAAGCUUGAACCCCUUUCUGCCAUCCCUGCACCGCAGACGAAGCAGAGCAGGGCCGAGAUUAGCAUGUAUAAAUGCUCCCCGACUUAUCUCUUCUUCUGAUGUCAACAUGCUUGAACAAUCUCAGCAAGCUUUCGCUAAGAUUCUGCUCCCAAAGACACAGGCAGAAACAGAUCAAGAUUUACACACCCUGGUAGCUUUUAAUAUUUGAUAGAAAUUUUGUGCUCCUCCUCAAACUUCCUUGGAGAACAAAUAAUCAGCACGGUGAUAAUAAGUUACCCAAAUGAUUUAUGCUCACUGGGGGUGAGAAGAAAUGCGGUUCAGGAAGGCAUGCAGGGAGGAGCCGGGGUUAAAGACACGGUCGAAUGCGUUAUUUCCAUUUUGCGUCCCCUGCAUUAUCCAUUAAAUAAAUAGCCUGGGGAAAAUGGAACUUCACGCAGCUCGUUUCUGUUGAGGCAGCACUGUUAUGCAUAACGAACAGGUGAUGCAGAGGUGUCGAGACCGCUUUGCUAUCCGCAACAGUUGCCUCAAGCUUGCUGUGGCGGCAUGCAGUGCCAGCAAGGUGGGGAGGGAUGGAGAGCAGGUUGUUUGCUGAUAGAAAAGGUGAAAAAUGACCCAAUGUGGAAUGUCACAGGAGCUGAACCGACACAGAACAGCCAAAGUGCAGCCAGCGGGCGCCCGGGGAAGAACUGUGACCCAGAAUCCAACAAACCUCCAGUGAGAAUGCAGAAGGCCCCAUCAUGGCUCUGCUAAACCGGCCACGCAACAGGAAAACACCUCCUCUUUCUCCCCAGGCUCCAGAGAGGUAACUCUAUCUGAGAAGCUGAGUUGGAGGAAGUUAAUAUAAAGUGCAAUGGAGAAGUGCGGCGUCUGAGGAGCCGCUGACAACGUGCUAAUGUUUUAACCUGUCAGCUCUCUGUAAGGAAAGACGAAUGGAUCUAGAAAUAGAAUGUAAUUACAAGGCAUAAACUCCUUUCUAAAGUUUGGACAUUGGAUAUACUGUAGGGAUGUUUUCCUAAAAUUGAACAAGAUUUUCAGUGCUAAAAAGACAUUAAAUAAGAUCUUCAAAGUUCUAAGAA